rnacentral:rRNA from 1 species
UACGUAGGGUGCAAGCGUUGUCCGGAAUUAUUGGGCGUAAAGAGCGUGUAGGCGGCCCGAUUAGUCCGCUGUGAAAGUCCAGGGCUCAACCCUGGAAUGCCGGUGGAUACUGUCGGGCUAGAGUCCGGAAGGGGCGAGUGGAAUUCCUGGUGUAGCGGUGAAAUGCGCAGAUAGUCAGGAGGAACACCAAUGGCGAAGGCAGCUCGCUGGGACGUGACUGACGCUGAGACGCGAAAGCGUGGGGAGCAAACAGG